AAAACGGUUUUACUAAAAACUAUACAAUUUUAUUGAAAAUUAAG
rfam:Stegodyphus mimosarum contig106649, whole genome shotgun sequence.